AUCUGUAGCGGGUCUGAGAGGAUGAUCCGCCACACUGGGACUGAGACACGGCCCAGACUCCUACGGGAGGCAGCAGUGGGGAAUAUUGGACAAUGGGGGGAACCCUGAUCCAGCCAUGCCGCGUGUGUGAAGAAGGCCUUUUGGUUGUAAAGCACUNUAAGCGAGGAGGAGGCUACCGAGAUUAAUACUCUUGGAUAGUGGACGUUACUCGCAGAAUAAGCACCGGCUAACUCUGUGCCAGCAGCCGCGGUAAUACAGAGGGUGCAAGCGUUAAUCGGAUUUACUGGGCGUAAAGCGCGCGUAGGUGGCCAAUUAAGUCAAAUGUGAAAUCCCCGAGCUUAACUUGGGAAUUGCAUUCGAUACUGGUUGGCUAGAGUAUGGGAGAGGAUGGUAGAAUUCCAGGUGUAGCGGUGAAAUGCGUAGAGAUCUGGAGGAAUACCGAUGGCGAAGGCAGCCAUCUGGCCUAAUACUGACACUGAGGUGCGAAAGCAUGGGGAGCAA
rnacentral:rRNA from 1 species